AGUGAACGCUGGCGGCGUGCCUAAUACAUGCAAGUCGAGCGAAUCUUUUGGGAGCUUGCUCCCAAAAGAUUAGCGGCGGACGGGUGAGUAACACGUGGGCAACCUGCCUAUAAGACUGGGAUAACUUCGGGAAACCGGAGCUAAUACCGGAUACGUUCUUUUCUCGCAUGAGAGAAGAUGGAAAGACGGUCUCGGCUGUCCCUUAUAGAUGAGCCCGCGGCGCGUUAGCUAGUUGGUGGGGUAAUGGCUCACCAAGGCGACGAUGCGUAGCCGACCUGAGGGAGUGGUCGGCCACACGGGGACUGAGACACGGCGCAGACUGCUACGGGAGGCAGCAUUAGGGAAUCUUCCGAAAGGAACGAAAGGCUGACGGAGCAACGCCGCGUGAACAAGGAAGGGCUUCGGGUCGUAAAGUUCUGUUGUUAGGGAAGAACAAGUACCAGAGUAACUGCGGGUACCUUGACGGUACCUAACCAGAAAGCCACGGCUAACUACGUGCCAGCCGCCGCCGUAACAC
rnacentral:rRNA from 1 species